CCCCUCUCAGGAUCAUGCCUGGAGAGUUUCCAGUACCCUACCAGUCUCAGCCAAGGGAGGAAGAGUCAAGCAGAGGGAUACCCAUUCCAUUCCUAGCUUGGGCAGUGGCUAGCGAGUGGAACACAAUCUGCUCCAGGU